GGGGGUAUCCCCUAUUUAAAGAAUAAUGAGGUUUUUGAUAAAUUUCAAUACUUUUAGUUAACA
rnacentral:rRNA from 1 species